UGACCCAAAUUUAACGAACUGUAUUGCAGGAACUGCAAUCGUUUUGUCGUCCCCAAUCGUCAUCUCUUUAGAACAUUCUUGCAGGAACCUGAGGCUAUCCAGGCCUCAUGUCCUCCGCUCCGUCCGAUCGAUAUUGCCCCCGACUCAGCAAAGGAUUACCUGCUUAGCUUACGUGUAGUGGGGCUCAAAAGUGUUGAAUGUGUUCGUCUACUGACAUUACAUCAUAAUGCCUUCCCUGUUGACACCAAUGUUGGCCCGGAUAUGUGUAAGGCUGGGAUGGGUGCCCAUUCAACCUCUUCCUGAAUCUCUACAAUUACAUCUCCUCGAGCUAGAGGGCUAAAGAGUUGGAUAAGAUGGGC